UACGAAGGGGGCUAGCGUUGCUCGGAAUCACUGGGCGUAAAGCGCACGUAGGCGGACUCUUAAGUCGGUGGUGAAAUCCUGGAGCUCAACUCCAGAACUGCCUUCGAUUCUGAGAGUCUCGAGUCCGGGAGAGGUGAGUGGAACUGCGAGUGUAGAGGUGAAAUUCGUAGAUAUUCGCAAGAACACCAGUGGCGAAGGCGGCUCACUGGCCCGGUACUGACGCUGAGGUGCGAAAGCGUGGGGAGCAAACAGG
rnacentral:rRNA from 1 species